CCUACGGGAGGCUGCAGUGGGGAAUAUUGGGCAAUGGGCGCAAGCCUGAACCAGCAACGCCGCGUGAAGGAAGAAGGCUUUCGGGGUGUAAACUUCUUUUAAGCGGGAAGAGCAGAAGACGGUACCUCUUGAAUAAGCCACGGCUAACUAAGUGCCAGCAGCCGAGGUAAUACGGAGGUGGCAAGCGUUGUCCGGAUUUACUGGGUGUAAAGGGCGUGCAGCCGGGAAGACAAGUCAGAUGUGAAAUCCCGCGGCGCAACCGCGGAACUGCCUUUGAAACUGUGUUUCUUGAGUACCGGAGAGGUCAGCGGAAUUCCUGGUGUAGCGGUGAAAUGCGUAGAUAUAAGGAAGAACACCAGUGGCGAAGGCGGAUGACUGGACGGCAACUGACGGUGAGGCGCGAAAGCGUGGGGAGCAAACAGGAUUAGAUACCCCAGUAGUC
rnacentral:rRNA from 1 species